GGAGGUGCGAAUGUGCUC
rnacentral:siRNA from 1 species